rnacentral:lncRNA from 1 species
CAGGGCGCCAUCUCUCAGUACUCGCAGAGGGGAGUGCUUUCUGUCAGACAUGGGAUAGGAGGUGUUGGGCCCAGCCCCUUCCUCCCUCAAACUCAAGAGCCCACCAUAGCCCCCUCCACUCUCUAAGGAGCCCUGUGUACCUGGGGCAGAGACCGCUACCCUCCCUGUCCCCUGGGGGUUGGGUCAGUCUGACAAUGGGGUCACUGUACACCUGGCCUUGCCCCCACAGCUCGGAAUACCUGGCCAUCACCUCCGAAAGCAAAGAGAACUGCACGGGUGUCCAGGUGGCCGAAUAGCCCUGGUAAGGCAGAUGGGCGGGCAGGGGGCCCAGGGAUUGGGAGGGGUGGAAGUCCCCCAGGUCCCUAAUUCCCCAUCUCUUGCACCCCUUCAGGCCCUGGGCCCCUCCUCAAGGAAGAGCCAGCCCUAAUGGGGACUCUCCAGAUACCGCCUGCCUGCAUUUGGGGUGGGGUGGCCGCUUCUGGGCCCCGGAAAGCCUCAGAGUCCUGCCGACAGAGCCGCCGGGGAGGGAGUGGGCAGGGGGCUUGGCUCGCACCCCCACCUUUGCCUCCUCCAGCUCCUGACCCCCGGCCGCGCACCGCCAUGCAUGAUGGGUAAAGCAGCGGCCCCGCACCCCUCCUCCUUGCUGAUUUGCACACAUUGGCCGCUUCAGACAUGCACUUCUGGGGGCCAGCCCCUCCCCGCCUCCUCCCUGCCCGGGGGCAGGGGUCGCGAUGAUGGGCUGGAGCAGUUUGGGGCAAGGGGUUCUGGGGCCCACUCCGACUCUCCCUCCCCAGCAUCAUUUCCCCUCCCGCUUCCUCCGGCUGGACCUGGGGUCCCCGUCCCCGUGAUGCACUCCUGCCCCGGCCCAACCUCGCCCUCUCUCACCAGCCUUGAACUGUGGCCACCUAGAAAGGGGCCCAUUCAGCCUCGUCUCUUUACAGAAGUAGUUUUGUUCAUGAAAUAAAGACUCUUGGACUUGAUGCAGAGUUUUGAUUGUGAGCCUCGUCACCUUCCCACAUUCCUGUCCCUGAAUCCUAGGGCCAGCUUUCCAGGGCCCCUGCCUGUGGGCCACAGGUGAAGUCACUUAGUGCCUGGUCUGUGUCAGGCUUGGGUUAGGGGAGCCAUUCGCUCAGGGGGGACCAAGAGUGGUGAGGGAGAGUGGGAUGGAGCCAGGAAGGGAGAGGGUGCCGUGGAGGGAAGAGAGGGGAGGCUCAGGCUGGCGUGCAGGGGUUUCACGGGGUGUGCGGUGUGCCCAGCAGAGUGUGGGUCUCUGGAGAGGUGGGCGCUGGGGAGGAGAGGGAAGGAGAGCCGGGUACGGAUGGAGAGGCAGAGGAAGCCAGGCUAAGGCAGCGUGUCCCAGUGAGGGCCCAGGGCUAAGUGGAGGAAAU